UAUUGAUUUUAGGUYUGACCUGCCCGCUGAGUGAUUAAAUGGCCGCGGUAUAUUGACCGUGCAAAGGUAGCAUAGUCAUUAGUUUUUUAAUUGAAAGCUUGUAUGAAAGGUUUGAUGAGAAAGUUACUGUCUCUAAAAAAAUUUAGUAGAAUUUUAUUUUUAAGUGAAAAAGCUUAAAUUUAUAUAGAAGACGAGAAGACCCUAUAGAGUUUUAUAGGUAAAAGUGCAUAAAGAGGUUAUGGAAUAUAAGACUUAGGUGUGUUUGAUCUAUUUUGUUGGGGAGACAGGAAAAUUAGAUAAACUUUUCUUGAAUUACAAUAUUUAUGAGUAGGUUUAUGAUCCUUUAGUAAAGAUUAUAAGAUUAAACUACCUUAGGGAUAACAGCGUUAUCUUUUUCAGAGUUCUUAUCGAAGAAAAGGGUUGCGACCUCGAUGUUGGAUUAAAAUUAAUUAUUGGUGUAGAAGCUAAUGGAUUAGGUCUGUUCGACCUUUAAAAUUUUACAUGAUCUGAGUUUAAACCGGCGUGAGC
rnacentral:rRNA from 1 species